rnacentral:rRNA from 1 species
CCUACGGGGGGCAGCAGUGGGGGAUAUUGCACAAUGGGGGAAACCCUGAUGCAGCGACGCCGCGUGGGUGAAGAAGUAUUUCGGUAUGUAAAGCCCUAUCAGCAGGGAAGAAAGAAGACGGUACCUGACUAAGAAGCCCCGGCUAACUACGUGCCAGCAGCCGCGGUAAUACGUAGGGGGCGAGCGUUAUCCGGAUUCACUGGGUGUAAAGGGAGCGUAGACGGCCGUGCAAGCCAGGAGUGAAAGCCCGGGGCCCAACCCCGGGACUGCUCUUGGAACUGUGCGGCUGGAGUGCGGGAGGGGCAGGCGGAAGUCCUGGUGUAGCGGUGAAAUGCGUAGAUAUCAGGAGGAACACCGGCGGCGAAGGCGGCCUGCUGGACCGCGACUGACGUUGAGGCUCGAAAGCGUGGGGAGCGAACAGGAUUAGAUACCCGGGUAGUC